GGCGUAAAACCAAACUCAGUCACUCCACUGUGCCAAAAGUGUUGCAAGAAAAAUGGCCGCCGCUCUAAGUAGAGGUUCUCACCUGAAAUUUUCAAGCAAUGAAUACGACUUUAAAAUAAUGUUUUUCUUAUCUUGUUUUGACUAGUAUUUAGUGAUAUAACCUCUCUGAAU